GAAUAUUCGUUUGUUAUGAAUCGCACUGCUCUAUUUUGUGUCUGUUCUAGUUUCUUAAUGUUUUCUUGAGUUGAGGGGUCCCAAACAGAGGAUGCAUAUUCUAUUAUUGGCCUAACCAAGGUUAAAUAACAUUUUAGUUUUAUGUUCUUAUUUGAUUUAUAGAAAUUUCUUUUAAUAAAUCCUAAUGCUUUGUUUGAUUUUUUUGUAGUUUCAUCAAUAUGUGGAUUCCAUGACAGUUUUUCAUUUAUUAUAACACCUAGGUAUUUUGUGUUUUUAGUCUGUGUUACUGGUUUGCCAUGAAUAAGAUAAGUGGAAUUAAUUUGUUUUAGUUUUUUUGUUACUCUUAACAACUGACAUUUUUCUGGGUGGAAAGACAUGCUCCAAUUUGAUUCCCAUUUCUGUAAAUCAUCUAAUUCUCUUUUUAAAAUAUCUGUGUCUUGUGUUGUUUUUAUUGUUCUAUAUAUUAUGCAAUCGUCUGCAAAUAAUCUGACUUUUGUUCCUGAAGUAAUGCAAUUUGGUAAAUCAUUUAUGUAAAUUCAAAAUAGUUGUGGACCCAAGACUGUUCCUUGAGGUACACCAGAGUUUACUGUUAUCGGUGUUGAUUUAGAGCCAUUUAUUAUUACAGUUUGUUCUCUCCCUAUCAGAAAGUCUUUAAUCCACUGCUGCAGUGGACCAUUAACCCCUUCGUACACGGUGUGUACAUAUGUACACAUGACUUUAAAACGAUUUUUUUUCACAUGAAAAGUUGUGGACAAGUUUUUUAAACACCGGAAAUAAAUUUAUCGACCUCUUCUUUGUUUAUUAUACACCGUAUUUUACACAGAAAGGAAGCGAAUAUUUUUUAAUUUCAACUUGAAUCCAGUUGGUCAAAUAGCCCGAUUUGAAAACACCCUAUUAGUACUAUUAGAUCUUUCUGUUGAGGAUGUGUUACAACGGAACACUGCCUAACUCACUGCCUGGUUGUAUGAUGAUCAUCUGUUCGAAACCUGUCCGGUUCCAUCCCUGCUGUCCUUCAAGAGAUUUAGGCUAGGACGAAAUAUUACUACUUAAUAAUCUUCAUGACCACACACAGUAACAUCUAACAACUGUGAGGUCUUUAUUACAACAGAUCGCUGCCUCGUCGUUUGGUUUUGAAAUGCCAUCAUGAUGGUCACCUUUUUUUAAUCCUGCACAGUUCCAUUGCCCUGCUGUGUCCUGCAGGGUUUUGUACUAAGAUGUAAUAUUACUACUUAGAAUUCCAUGUCUCCCCCCAGAGGCAAUCUACUGUUGAGGACUUAUAUUACAACGGAUCACUGCCUUCGUUCUGUAUGGGCUUCGAAGUGUCGUCUUAAAUGUCACCUGUUCAAGCCCUGCCAACAUCUGUCACCUGCUGGCCUGCAGGAGGUUUGUGCUAGGAUGUAUUAAUAUUUAAUUAUGUCUUCACCCAGAAGCAUUCUACUGUUGAAGACUUGUUACAAUGAAUCACUGCCUAAUCGUUUGGUUUGGGUUUCGGACUGUCGUCUUAGAGGUCACCCAUUCAAACCUUGCCUACUUCCGUCCCCUGCAUAUCCUGAAUGAGGUUUGUGCUAGGAUAUAAUUAUCAUGUCUACACCCACAGACAUUUUACUGUUGAGGACUUAUUGCAACGAGUCACUUCAUGGUCAUUUGGUAUGAGCUUCGAACUGUCUUCAUAGUGGUCAUUUGUUUGAACCCUACACUUUUCCAUGCCCUGGUCACUGAAACCUCAAACUUCAUUCAUUGAAGCUUAUUAUAAAUAUUAACAAUUCUUAAGCUAUCUAGAUUAUAUACAAUGUGAGAAUAUAUUUAUGUACUGUUGUGCUGUUAGAAAGAGAGAUCCUAUUCAAACAUGGUCUUUUUCUUAUUUCGCAGCCUCAGAUGCCACAAACAAGUGUUUGUCAACCCUGAUAUAACUGUUUGUGAAAACGUGUGUGUGAAUGUGGGCUUGCUUUAGGCUUCUUUUGAAGCAUGUAUCUGAAAAGUUGUUGCAGAAUUAAUUAAGUCAAAGGUGUACAAAUGGUAGGAUGGGAUACAAUGGGCGAAGCUGAAUACUCAAAAUGCUAAUUUUUAUGUAGUACUAGUAAGAAAAAAGUGAUUUUUAGAAUGCCAUUUGCUUAAUAAAAUAAAUAGAUUUGAUAAAAGUAAAUAAAUAAUUUGAUUUAUA